CAUCAUCACUCUUUGUACAGGAUUUUAUGAAAAUCAGGUGUGUAAUACAAAGAGUCUAAGAAAAUCUGUUGGAGCUCUGCUCAACUUCUGAAGUUCUGGCAGUUAAAACUGUUAAAUGCACUUAGCUGCAGGCAAUAUCGGAUUCGUCCAUCUACUGCUGUAGCAUGAGCAAACUAAUGGCACGGCCUCCAAGUCCAGCUCUUUUCGAAUUUUUAUAAAGUUUGGCUAGAUACAAGUCAUGCACACUUCUUACAUUGUAUCUGCAGCUGGCUGCUUCAAACUAGAAUGACUUGAGCACUGUACAGUCCUGGGGAGCAGAUGAAAGCUGCCUGGCAAGACAAAGGCCCAGCGAGCUGGAUCUCCCAGAAAGCCCUCUGUAUUUGCAUUUAUCCUACGUGA
rnacentral:lncRNA from 1 species